rnacentral:rRNA from 1 species
UUAAGUUAUUAAGGGCGCACGGUGGAUGCCUUGGCACUAGAAGCCGAUGAAGGACGUUACUAACGACGAUAUGCUUUGGGGAGCUGUAAGUAAGCUUUGAUCCAGAGAUUUCCGAAUGGGGAAACCCAGCAUGAGUUAUGUCAUGUUAUCGAUAUGUGAAUACAUAGCAUAUCAGAAGGCACACCCGGAGAACUGAAACAUCUUAGUACCCGGAGGAAGAGAAAGAAAAUUCGAUUCCCUUAGUAGCGGCGAGCGAAACGGGAAGAGCCCAAACCAACAAGCUUGCUUGUUGGGGUUGUAGGACACUCUAUACGGAGUUACAAAGGACGACAUUAGACGAAUCAUCUGGAAAGAUGAAUCAAAGAAGGUAAUAAUCCUGUAGUCGAAAAUGUUGUCUCUCUUGAGUGGAUCCUGAGUACGACGGAGCACGUGAAAUUCCGUCGGAAUCUGGGAGGACCAUCUCCUAAGGCUAAAUACUCUCUAGUGACCGAUAGUGAACCAGUACCGUGAGGGAAAGGUGAAAAGCACCCCGGAAGGGGAGUGAAAUAGAACCUGAAACCGUGUGCUUACAAGUAGUCAGAGCCCGUUAAUGGGUGAUGGCGUGCCUUUUGUAGAAUGAACCGGCGAGUUACGAUUUGAUGCAAGGUUAAGCAGUAAAUGUGGAGCCGUAGCGAAAGCGAGUCUGAAUAGGGCGUUUAGUAUUUGGUCGUAGACCCGAAACCAGGUGAUCUACCCUUGGUCAGGUUGAAGUUCAGGUAACACUGAAUGGAGGACCGAACCGACUUACGUUGAAAAGUGAGCGGAUGAACUGAGGGUAGCGGAGAAAUUCCAAUCGAACCUGGAGAUAGCUGGUUCUCUCCGAAAUAGCUUUAGGGCUAGCCUCAAGUGAUGAUUAUUGGAGGUAGAGCACUGUUUGGACGAGGGGCCCCUCUCGGGUUACCGAAUUCAGACAAACUCCGAAUGCCAAUUAAUUUAACUUGGGAGUCAGAACAUGGGUGAUAAGGUCCGUGUUCGAAAGGGAAACAGCCCAGACCACCAGCUAAGGUCCCAAAAUAUAUGUUAAGUGGAAAAGGAUGUGGCGUUGCCCAGACAACUAGGAUGUUGGCUUAGAAGCAGCCAUCAUUUAAAGAGUGCGUAAUAGCUCACUAGUCGAGUGACACUGCGCCGAAAAUGUACCGGGGCUAAACAUAUUACCGAAGCUGUGGAUUGUCCUUUGGACAAUGGUAGGAGAGCGUUCUAAGGGCGUUGAAGCAUGAUCGUAAGGACAUGUGGAGCGCUUAGAAGUGAGAAUGCCGGUGUGAGUAGCGAAAGACGGGUGAGAAUCCCGUCCACCGAUUGACUAAGGUUUCCAGAGGAAGGCUCGUCCGCUCUGGGUUAGUCGGGUCCUAAGCUGAGGCCGACAGGCGUAGGCGAUGGAUAACAGGUUGAUAUUCCUGUACCACCUAUAAUCGUUUUAAUCGAUGGGGGGACGCAGUAGGAUAGGCGAAGCGUGCGAUUGGAUUGCACGUCUAAGCAGUAAGGCUGAGUAUUAGGCAAAUCCGGUACUCGUUAAGGCUGAGCUGUGAUGGGGAGAAGACAUUGUGUCUUCGAGUCGUUGAUUUCACACUGCCGAGAAAAGCCUCUAGAUAGAAAAUAGGUGCCCGUACCGCAAACCGACACAGGUAGUCAAGAUGAGAAUUCUAAGGUGAGCGAGCGAACUCUCGUUAAGGAACUCGGCAAAAUGACCCCGUAACUUCGGGAGAAGGGGUGCUCUUUAGGGUUAACGCCCAGAAGAGCCGCAGUGAAUAGGCCCAAGCGACUGUUUAUCAAAAACACAGGUCUCUGCUAAACCGUAAGGUGAUGUAUAGGGGCUGACGCCUGCCCGGUGCUGGAAGGUUAAGAGGAGUGGUUAGCUUCUGCGAAGCUACGAAUCGAAGCCCCAGUAAACGGCGGCCGUAACUAUAAAGGUCCUAAGGUAGCGAAAUUCCUUGUCGGGUAAGUUCCGACCCGCACGAAAGGCGUAACGAUUUGGGCACUGUCUCAACGAGAGACUCGGUGAAAUCAUAGUACCUGUGAAGAUGCAGGUUACCCGCGACAGGACGGAAAGACCCCGUGGAGCUUUACUGUAGCCUGAUAUUGAAAUUCGGCACAGCUUGUACAGGAUAGGUAGGAGCCUUUGAAACGUGAGCGCUAGCUUACGUGGAGGCGCUGGUGGGAUACUACCCUAGCUGUGUUGGCUUUCUAACCCGCACCACUUAUCGUGGUGGGAGACAGUGUCAGGCGGGCAGUUUGACUGGGGCGGUCGCCUCCUAAAAGGUAACGGAGGCGCUCAAAGGUUCCCUCAGAAUGGUUGGAAAUCAUUCAUAGAGUGUAAAGGCAUAAGGGAGCUUGACUGCGAGACCUACAAGUCGAGCAGGGUCGAAAGACGGACUUAGUGAUCCGGUGGUUCCGCAUGGAAGGGCCAUCGCUCAACGGAUAAAAGCUACCCCGGGGAUAACAGGCUUAUCUCCCCCAAGAGUUCACAUCGACGGGGAGGUUUGGCACCUCGAUGUCGGCUCAUCGCAUCCUGGGGCUGUAGUCGGUCCCAAGGGUUGGGCUGUUCGCCCAUUAAAGCGGUACGCGAGCUGGGUUCAGAACGUCGUGAGACAGUUCGGUCCCUAUCCGUCGUGGGCGUAGGAAAUUUGAGAGGAGCUGUCCUUAGUACGAGAGGACCGGGAUGGACAUACCUCUGGUGUACCAGUUGUCGUGCCAACGGCAUAGCUGGGUAGCUAUGUGUGGACGGGAUAAGUGCUGAAAGCAUCUAAGCAUGAAGCCCCCCUCAAGAUGAGAUUUCCCAACUUCGGUUAUAAGAUCCCUCAAAGAUGAUGAGGUUAAUAGGUUCGAGGUGGAAGCAUGGUGACAUGUGGAGCUGACGAAUACUAAUCGAUCGAAGACUUAAUCAA